CAAAAGGUAACUUAGAGAUUUACACCUUGUCUUUGCCAAGUGUUCAACAGCAAGCUUCUAGAGGAUUUAAAUAGAUGACCACAUGUGUUUAAUAAAUAAGAACAUCUGUACAUUUGUAAGAAAAAUACCAAGUAUGUUCAUGUGAGAGAGAGCUAGAGGGAAGCAAAGUACUGAGGAGCCUCAGGAGUCAUGACCUCUUCGUGUAGAAGUGGAAGGUGAGGCCUGAUGGGCUCCGAUGUUUUAUUCCUGGAAUCAAAGCUGAGCUCUUGACUGGGCUGCGAUAAACCACAGGUCCUUAUGCACAUGAAGUAUUUAUACUUUUUAAAGAUUUUAAAUAAAAUUUUUUUGCUUCUCUCCACAAUA